ACAAGCAUUUUUCUAGUUUCAUGACCAUUACUUGUGUGUAAGUGUAUGGAUCUUUAUGAAAUUGUACUACACGGUUCCAUAUCACAAAGGGAAAGCUGGGUUUGAGUUUGGGGGUAAUUGCCAUAAAUGUUUAGGAAUUUGGGGCCAAAAAGGGGCCUAAAAACAAGCAUUUUUCUAGUUUCCAGACAAUAACUUGUAUUCAAGUGUAUGGAUCUCUGUGAAAUUGUACUGCAAGGUACCAUACCACAAAGGGAAGGCUGGGAUUGAGUUUGGGGGUGAUGAAUCAUAAGGGGGUUCAAAAAUUUGGGGGAGGGAUUUUUUUUUCCUUUUUUUCCUUUUUUUUCUUUAAAAUUUUCCAUUUUAAAUUGGUUAUUUCUGAUUUAUAUAUGAAAGCAAAUAAUAAUGAUAUGGUUUGAAAAGGUAGAUUAAAAAUUUUUAAGUUCUUAGACCACAUUCAUUCUGUGUCAGAAACCUAUGCUGGGUCAAA